UAAAUACUCCCUCCGUCCCAAAAUAAGUGUCUUAACUUUGUAUUAACUUUAGUACAAAAUUGUACUAAAGUCAAGACACUUAUUUUGGGACGGAGGGAGUAUUAG
rfam:Triticum aestivum genome assembly, contig: Triticum_aestivum_CS42_TGACv1_scaffold_158281_2DL